AGCGGUAAUUCCAGCUCCAAGAGCAUAUAUUAAAGUUGUUGCAGUUAAAAAGCUCGUAGUUGGACUUCUGGUUUAAUGCACCUGGCCCGCGGCUCUUUAGGCUUGUGAGUGCCGGCGCGCGUUUACCAUCCUUCUGGGGAACGGGUCUACCCUUAACUGGGCCGGAUUCGGGAUCCAGAUCAUUUACUUUGAAAAAAU
rnacentral:rRNA from 1 species